rnacentral:tRNA from 1 species
UUGCUUCUAGUUUAUGGUUUGGGAGAAUAUUAAUUUGUCGGGUUAAAGGAGUAAGUAUUGACGAAGCAAG